GGGGCAGUAGAAGUGCUGAGACUCCAGAAGAUCCAAGAACCGAGUGAGAAGAACAUCGUCCUCAUCUCCUCCUGGUCAGAAAGAACUGACCAUGAAGACUCUCUGCUUCUCUCUGGGGCUGCUGCUGUUUGUUGUCUGCUGCAGUGAUGCCGGGCCCGUUGGAUUUCAUCACAGCACAGUUUUGGAAAAAUGCUGCUUUGAAUUCAGCGAAGAGCCACUGGAAUUACGGAGAGUGACUGGAAUCAUCAGAACUCCCCAGCGUUGUCAACAUCAGGCGUUUAUAGUCUUUGCUAUUGGUCGAGAGGAGUUCUGCUUUAGGGACAACUUUGAUUGGGCUAUGGAUGUCUGCAAGUAUUUUUACCCUGAAGGAUGUUAAAAUGCUUCAGAAUAUUCUAUUCUCUAACAUAAACUCUUUUUUUGUAAAGAAUAACUCUUCGUGCUUUUUUAGUGGGCAUUUUACUUUGGUAAACAUCUAUUUGUGGUUUA